CUGCCAUUCUGGAUCGCAGAAGAAUAGGAUGCAGGAUCAACACUCUUAACAAUAAAAAUGUUUUGCUUAUUGGUAUGGUUGAAUUGGAUCAUCAAAGUCUAGAACAGGGGUAGCCAGCCCUACUCCUGAUGGGCCACCUUCCUGCAGACUUCAGUUCCAACCCUGCUCCAACAGUGUUAGGCUGCGACCGAAAUGGCACUCUCUUGAACAGGCUUGAUCUAAUGAUGGAGCAGCAGACACACAUACACACAGAUGGGCUCUGUCACGUAACCUGGAGAGCAGAGCACCACCCCUCCGCAGCCAGGAACAAUAUGAGCGGACUAAAGCACCACUCUGCAUGUGUUCAGACACUGUGCAAAAUGAAUGAGGCCACAAAUAAAAAACUAAAACAUGCAGUCUGAGAAAAAUGAGAACAACUGUGUUCCAAUUCUCUCAUAAUGGUUAUUCAAAAAAGGUGUCCACAAGUCUAAUAGCUUUUGUUGUACAUACUGGCAUAAAUCAUUUCACACCUG